GGUCAAGUGAAGAAGCGCAUACGGUGGAUGCCUUGGCAGUCAGAGGCGAUGAAAGACGUGGUAGCCUGCGAUAAGCUUUGGGGAGUCGGCAAACAGACUGUGAUCCAGAGAUCUCUGAAUGGGGGAACCCACUCAGCAUAAGCUGAGUAUCUUGUACUGAAUACAUAGGUGCAAGAGGCGAACCAGGGGAACUGAAACAUCUAAGUACCCUGAGGAAAAGAAAUCAACCGAGAUUCCCUUAGUAGUGGCGAGCGAACGGGGACCAGCCCUUAAGUUGAUUUGAGAUUAGUGGAACGCUCUGGAAAGUGCGGCCAUAGUGGGUGAUAGCCCCGUACACGAAAAUCUCUUGUCAAUGAAAUCGAGUAGGACGGAGCACGAGAAACUUUGUCUGAAUAUGG
rnacentral:ncRNA from 1 species